UACGUAGGGUGCGAGCGUUAAUCGGAAUUACUGGGCGUAAAGCGUGCGUAGGCGGUUCGUUAAGUUCGUCGUGAAAGCCCCGGGCUCAACCUGGGAAUGGCGAUGGAACUGGCGGGCUGGAGUAUGGCAGAGGGGGGUGGAAUUCCGGGUGUAGCGGUGGAAUGCGUAGAGAUCCGGAAGAACACCGGUGGCGAAGGCGGCCUGCUGGGCAGUUUAGCUGACACUGAGGCGCGACAGCGUGGGGAGCAAACAGG
rnacentral:rRNA from 1 species